rnacentral:lncRNA from 1 species
GCAAAACCAGGUAUCCACAAUGAACACUAACCCAAAUACUAUGCUGAACAACCAACGACAGAAAACUAAAGAAGAAAAAAAAUAAAACCAAAAAUUGUUCGUUUUGCAACAACACAUUCAAGCUAGGCAUCAUCACAUUCAAGCUAGGCAUCAUCUAAUAGCAUACAUAAACCAAGCACCAAAAGUAGCACUAACUAAAGAGUGGCAAUCAAAACUCACCAGAUUCUGCCAGUAAUGAUACUCCUCCGUACACUUCUCCCUCCUCCAAGCAUCCAAAUCAA